GCCUAGGUGGCGGAAUUGGUUUACGCGCACGACUCAAAAUCGUGUGCCGCAAGGCAUGUGGGUUCGAGUCCCACCCUAGGCA
rfam:Parcubacteria bacterium GW2011_GWA1_45_10 TW85_C0003, whole genome shotgun sequence.